rnacentral:rRNA from 1 species
CGGGCUCAGGAUGAACGACUGGCGGCGUGCUUAACACAUGCAAGUCGAACGAAGCACUUAAGACAGAUUCUUCGGGAUGAAGACUUUUGUGACUGAGUGGCGGACGGGGUNAGGUAACGCGUGGGUAACCUGCCUUAUACAGGGGGAUAGCAGUUGGAAACGACUGGUAAUACCGCAUAAGCGCACAGUACCGCAUGGUACAGUGUGAAAAAACUCCGGUGGUAUAAGAUGGACCCGCGUCUGAUUAGCUAGUUGGUGAGGUAACGGCUCACCAAGGCGACGAUCAGUAGCCGACCUGAGAGGGUGACCGGCCACAUUGGGACUGAGACACGGCCCAGACUCCUACGGGAGGCAGCAGUGGGGAAUAUUGCACAAUGGAGGAAACUCUGAUGCAGCGACGCCGCGUGAGUGAAGAAGUAUUUCGGUAUGUAAAGCUCUAUCAGCAGGGAAGAUAAUGACGGUACCUGACUAAGAAGCACCGGCUAAAUACGUG